GACGAACGCUGGCGGCGUGCUUAACACAUGCAAGUCGAACGGAAAGGCCCUGCUUUUGUGGGGUGCUCGAGUGGCGAACGGGUGAGUAACACGUGAGUAACCUGCCCUUGACUUUGGGAUAACUUCAGGAAACUGGGGCUAAUACCGGAUAGGAGCUCCUGCUGCAUGGUGGGGGUUGGAAAGUUUCGGCGGUUGGGGAUGGACUCGCGGCUUAUCAGCUUGCUGGUGGGGUAGUGGUUUACCAAGGCUUUGACGGGUAGCCGGCCUGAGAGGGUGACCGGCCACAUUGGGACUGAGAUACGGCCCAGACUCCUACGGGAGGCAGCAGUGGGGAAUAUUGCACAAUGGGCGGAAGCCUGAUGCAGCAACGCCGCGUGCGGGAUGACGGCCUUCGGGUUGUAAACCGCUUUCGCCUGUGACGAAGCGUGAGUGACGGUAAUGGGUAAAGAAGCACCGGCUAACUACGUG
rnacentral:rRNA from 1 species